rnacentral:rRNA from 1 species
GGUUAAGUUAAUAAGGGCACACGGUGGAUGCCUUGGCGUUAGGAGCCGAAGAAGGACGCAGCGAACUGCGAUAAGCCUCGGGGAGUGGUAA